CCUACGUGGGGCAGCAGUGAGGAAUAUUGGUCAAUGGACGCAAGCCUGAACCAGCCAAGUAGCGUGAAGGAUGACUGCCCUACGGGUUGUAAACUUCUUUUAUAAGGGAGUAAAGUGAGGCACGUGUGCCUUUUUGUAUGUACUUUAUGAAUAAGGAUCGGCUAACUCCGUGCCAGCAGCCGCGGUAAUACGGAGGAUUCGAGCGUUAUCCGGAUUUAUUGGGUUUAAAGGGUGCGUAGAUGGGUUGUUAAGUUAGUGGUGAAAGUUUGCGGCUCAACUUCAAAAUUGCCACUGAUACUGGUCGUCUUGAGAACAGUUGAGGUAGGCGGAAUUUAUGGUGUAGCGGUGAAAUGCGUAGAGAUCAGACGGAACACCGGUGGCGAAGGCAGCUUGC
rnacentral:rRNA from 1 species